UACGUAGGGUGCGAGCGUUUAAUCGGAAUUACUGGGCGUAAAGCGUGCGCAGGCGGUUUGUAAGCCAGAUGUGAAAUCCCCGGGCUUAACCUGGGAAUGGCAUUUGGGACUGCAAGGCUUGAGUGCGGCAGAGGAGACUGGAAUUCCUGGUGUAGCAGUGAAAUGCGUAGAUAUCGGGAGGAACAUCUGUGGCGAAGGCGGCCAUCUGGACCAGCACUGACACUGGAAGGCACGGAAAGCGAUGGGGGAGCAAACGGG
rnacentral:rRNA from 1 species